UACGUAGGGGGCAAGCGUUGUCCGGAUUUAUUGGGCGUAAAGGGCGCGCAGGCGGCGCUUCAAGUCCGUUGUGAAAUUUCAGGGCUUAACCCUGGAACUGCAUUCAAUACUGCGUUGCUAGAGUACUGGAGAGGAGAUUGGAAUUCACGGUGUAGCAGUGAAAUGCGUAGAUAUCGUGAGGAAGACCAGUGGCGAAGGCGAAUCUCUGGACAGUUACUGACGCUGAGGCACGAAGGCCAGGGGAGCAAACGGG
rnacentral:rRNA from 1 species